rnacentral:rRNA from 1 species
GCCCCGGUAAACGGCGGCCGUAACUAUAACGGUCCUAAGGUAGCGAAAUUCCUUGUCGGGUAAGUUCCGACCUGCACGAAUGGCGUAAUGAUGGCCAGGCUGUCUCCACCCGAGACUCAGUGAAAUUGAACUCGCUGUGAAGAUGCAGUGUACCCGCGGCAAGACGGAAAGACCCCGUGAACCUUUACUAUAGCUUGACACUGAACAUUGAGCCUUGAUGUGUAGGAUAGGUGGGAGGCUUUGAAGUGUGGACGCCAGUCUGCAUGGAGCCGACCUUGAAAUACCACCCUUUAAUGUUUGAUGUUCUAACGUGGACCCGUAAUCCGGGUUGCGGACAGUGUCUGGUGGGUAGUUUGACUGGGGCGGUCUCCUCCUAAAGAGUAACGGAGGAGCACGAAGGUUGGCUAAUCCUGGUCGGACAUCAGGAGGUUAGUGCAAUGGCAUAAGCCAGCUUGACUGCGAGCGUGACGGCGCGAGCAGGUGCGAAAGCAGGUCAUAGUGAUCCGGUGGUUCUGAAUGGAAGGGCCAUCGCUCAACGGAUAAAAGGUACUCCGGGGAUAACAGGCUGAUACCGCCCAAGAGUUCAUAUCGACGGCGGUGUUUGGCACCUCGAUGUCGGCUCAUCACAUCCUGGGGCUGAAGUAGGUCCCAAGGGUAUGGCUGUUCGCCAUUUAAAGUGGUACGCGAGCUGGGUUUAGAACGUCGUGAGACAGUUCGGUCCCUA